CUCCAGUGAACUGGACCGAGCAACGAGUACAGGAGUAUUUUGAUUGGUCAAGAAAAGUCGUUGCAGGUUUGAAAGGAACCAAUCAAAAAUUGGAACGGUUACUGGACGAGAUUUUGGGAAGACACUUGUAACGUUGUUCACGAAGUGUACAGAGUUUGCACAUGUAUACAUAAGCUUAUUUAAAUAAUAAUGGUCAAAUAAAGUUCUUAUUUUGUAAGGUAGCCAAGUUU